UUUGCAUUCCCACCCCUAUUAUUUUUCCAGCCGCCAUCAGCCUUUUCUCCCCCACGCCUUCUUCCCCAACGCGCAGGGAGCUUCCUCCCUUCCUCCCAUGGCGCCCAGGCCUGCUCCUUCCCUCGGCCAGCCAGGGCGCGGUGGCCCCUGUCCCUGCUCCUUCUUCCUCCUCUCGCCGGGCUCCUCCUCCUUGCCAUGGCGCCCCCUUCCCGAGCUUCCUUCCCCAGCGCACAGGAUGCCAAUGGCUCAGCUCGACCCUCCUCCCCAUGGCGCCUCCACCUCCCUGCGUGCUCUCUGCCCUUCUGUCUUGGCGCGCUGAAGCUCUCCCAUGGUGUGGCCGAGCAGCAGCUCCCCCUCCCCUCGCCCCUGCUCUCCUCUGGCCGGACCGACCCCCCCAGCUCGAGCAGGUGAGGCCGCCGUCGCCCAUGGACGAUGCCCUGCUUUCCGGCCAGCAACGCGCAGCACAACACCAUGCCUGCUGUCCCAGCCACCCCGUCGAGUUCCCCUUGCAACUUCCAUGGCGCACAGCAGCCCACCCUCCAAAACACCAAGCAGCGGCAGCAGCCUCCAUGGCGCCCCUGCUUCCAUCCCAUAGCUGAGCGCCCUUGCUGUUCUCUUCAAUGCCCCUUGGCUGUUCGACGGAAUACCCAUGAGAAAUAAUGUGUUGUGCGCAGCCCCGUCCGUGAUGCCGUCGACCCUCGCUAGUGGUCGACGCCGCGCUUCGCGCUUGGCUCAUUCGACGAAACGCCAAGCCUUGUGGACAGCCCAUGUGACUAGCCUCGAUUCGUCCAGGUUGUUCACUUGGUAUUUUGUGGAUUAAUCUGUUUAAGCUUGGUCGAUGUUGUGCAUGUGUGUAUAUGUGUAAGAAAAUGUAUUGGUAUGGAUUGAAGUUCGUGGCGAAAGAAAAAGAAGUAGAAAAGAACUCGGAUGUUUUUAUAUUUCGAUAGGAAUUUAUGCGAUGUGUUGUUUGAUGUGUGCAAUUUGUAGUUUGUAUAAGUAUAUUUUGGUCGAUGUGGUGUA